UUAAAAUUACAAUAAGUCAAAGAUAACAUAAUUUUUCAAUUCCUUUGCCGGUGAACCACUUCAUCGGUACCCCCUCCAAUCCAUUUUUUUCGUCGAAACAAGGUUGUGGUGGUGGGGGUUCUUUGAUGUUAUCCAUUUUUAAAGGAUCAACAUGACCUCGGCGAACCAUAGUGCUGGUGGUGGGGAUUCUUCGAUGUUCUUAAAAAAAGAAUAUUGUUGUACAUAGCUAUGGUAUGUAUUGGGGUAAAGUCGUAAAAUCUUCAACUAAGAAAAAAUUGAAGGAUUAGCAUAACCUCAGCUUUCAAAGAUUUUGUGAUUUUCUUUGAAAUUUGUGUUUUUUUCUCUUAUUUAUUGUUAUCGUAUACAUUGUUAUACAUAGCUAUGCUAUGUAUAGUGCUAAAGUUUUUUUUUACUAGAUCUGCACAUAUUUCUAUUCCCUACACAUUAAUAUACAAUGUAUAUGACUGACCUAUUUUGUUAUUAUACAUGGAAGAGUUAUAUAUAAGGUUUGUCAGUGGCAUGUAAUGUAUGUGGCUUGAAGUAGUCUGAUCUUAUACAUGUAUAAGAGAUUGCCUGUGUUAUGUAAUUUAUAUGUUUUACCCCAAUGUUAUAUCUUUUAUGUAUAAAACUA
rnacentral:lncRNA from 1 species